rnacentral:rRNA from 1 species
AUGUUGAAAAGGAGUUCUAUUGCAGGUAUGCCUUGCUUAUUUUGUGGGAUUUUAAUUUAUAUAAGGACAACCCAAAAAAGCUAUAAAGGAGAAGAGAGAAGACAGUAUGACACACAUCUUCAAGAGGCAGAGCAGGCUCAGCCAAUGUUUGUGUAUCUAGACAUCAGUUUGAAAGUUUUGGACACAUUGAAAAACCUGACAAAGGACACACAUGCGGUCUAUUCGAACAUUAAUAAUUUGAACUUAGUGAUGGUAUUUCUGGAUAGGCAUUGCUAUUGCACUCGAUGCCAUACAAUCAGAGCCCCCGCCGUGCCAACGGGAAUUUACUAUAUGCAUCACCGUGCCAUCGUUUUUUUCUCUCCCGUUGCAACGCACGGGCUGCCUCCAUUGCAAGGUUGUUGUCACAUGUUUCUAUAA